rnacentral:lncRNA from 1 species
AUCAAAUACGACCUAAGGAGCCAUAGCCAUUUCCCCGCCAUAAUCGUUCUUCAUUUUUUGCAUUUUUCGGCCAAAAAACUAGAAAUCCGCCCGAUUCACAUAUUUUCGUGUGCUAUAGCCCACGCCUUCCGAGUGGGCCGGGCCCCUCGGACCCAGUUUGCCUAAAAAAAAUUUUGGGCCAUUAAAUACGACCUAAGGAACCAUAGUCACCGCCCUGCCAUGAUCGUUCCUCAUUUGUUUUUUUCGGCCAAAAAACUAGAAUUCCGCCCGAUUCCCAUAUUUUCGUAUGCUAUCCACGCCUUCCAUGUGAUCCCGGGACCACCAGACCCCAAUCUCCUAAUAUUUUUCUAGGCCAUCAAAUACGACCUAAGGAACCAUAGUCACCGCCCAGCCAUGAUCAUUCCUCAUUUUUUGCGUUUUACGGCCAAAGAACUAGAAUUCCGCCGGAUUCCCAUAU